GUGCUCACAUUGGUAGCACAUAUACUUAAAUUGGAAAGAUACAGAGAAGAUUGCAUAGCUUUUGUGCAAGGAUGACAUGCAAAUUCACAAAGCAUUCCAUAUUUAU